AGAGUUUGAUCCUGGCUCAGAAUCAACGCUGGCGGCGUGCCUCAGACAUGCAGGUCGAACGAUUAAGACUCUCUUCGGAGAGUGUAUAAAGUGGCGCACGGGUGGGUAACACGUAAGUAAUCUACCCUCGAGUGGGGAAUAACAUCGGGAAACCGAUGCUAAUACCGCAUAACGCAGCGGCACCGCAAGGUGACAGUUGUUAAAGGAGCAAUCCGCUUGAGGAGGAGCUUGCGGCAGAUUAGCUAGUUGGUAAGGUAAUGGCUUACCAAGGCGACGAUCUGUAUCCGGCCUGAGAGGGCGGUCGGACACACUGACACUGAAUAACGGGUCAGACUCCUACGGGAGGCAGCAGUCGGGAAUUUUGGGCAAUGGGCGAAAGCCUGACCCAGCAACGCCGCGUGAGGGAUGAAGUAUUUCGGUAUGUAAACCUCGAAAGAACGGGAAGAAUAAAUGACGGUACCGUUUAUAAGCUCCGGCUAACUACGUGCCAGCAGCCGCGGUAAUACGUAGGGAGCAAGCGUUGUUCGGAUUUACUGGGCGUAAAGGGCGCGUAGGCGGCGCGGUAAGUCACUUGUGAAAUCUCUGAGCUUAACUCAGAACGGCCAAGUGAUACUGCUGUGCUAGAGUGCGGAAGAGGCAACCGGAAUUCUUGGUGUAGCGGUGAAAUGCGUAGAUAUCAAGAGGAACACCUGAGGCGAAGGCGG
rnacentral:rRNA from 1 species